CAGGGAGACAACAAAAUGUUUAAUAUUAUUAUUUUGUCACCUUAGGUCGAUCGGUAUCUCACAUUCUUAAUUUAUUAAGAAUUUCAUUUCCUAAGUUUUUCUAGGUCACACCCAUUAUUUUUCCUGGGCCAUUAGCUCAGGUGGUUAGAGCGCACCCCUGAUAAGGGUGAGGUCCCUGGUUCAAGUCCAGGAUGGCCCAUCAUAUCUCUAUGUUGGGGGUAUAGCUCAGUUGGUAGAGCGCCUGCUUUGCAAGCAGGAUGUCAGCGGUUCGAGUCCGCUUACCUCCACUGAUUACCACCUCUUCCAUAAAUGUGAAAAAAGGAAAAUUUUGAGUCGUGAUCAUCAUUCUGAACGAAUCUAGCUUCCUAAUGAAACCAUUAAGAUGCUGGACUCAUUGAAUUAAUUUCAUUGUUUUCAGAGAACCUUGACAACUGCAUAGAUUAUUUUUAAAGACAAUAAGCAUCUUUAAUGAUGCAGAUUUAUUAUUUUUGCCAAUGCAUUAAUAACAAUUCUAUUAAGCUGAUGCUUCAAUAUUUGAAGUUAUU
rnacentral:tRNA from 1 species